rnacentral:lncRNA from 1 species
UGAGACUGUAGAUUUGAUAAAUAACAGAAGCCUAGCAUAACAAUGAAAUUAAGAAAUAAUUGUUAAUUUAUUACAUAUAGGUAAUUUAAAUGAACUAGUUAAACAUGGUCUGCGUGCCUUAAGAGAGACGCUUCCUGCAGAACAGGACCUGACUACAAAGAAUGUUUCCAUUGGAAUUGUUGGUAAAGACUUGGAGUUUACAAUCUAUGAUGAUGAUGAUGUGUCUCCAUUCCUGGAAGGUCUUGAAGAAAGACCACAGAGAAAGGCACAGCCUGCUCAACCUGCUGAUGAACCUGCAGAAAAGGCUGAUGAACCAAUGGAACAUUAAGUGAUAAGCCAGUCUAUAUAUGUAUUAUCAAAUAUGUAAGAAUACAGGCACCACAUACUGAUGACAAUAAUCUAUACUUUGAACCAAAAGUUGCAGAGUGGUGGAAUGCUAUGUUUUAGGAAUCAGUCCAGAUGUGAGUUUUUUCCAAGCAACCUCACUGAAACCUAUAUAAUGGAAUACAUUUUUCUUUGAAAGGGUCUGUAUAAUCAUUUUCUAGAAAGUAUGGGUAUCUAUACUAAUGUUUUUAUAUGAAGAACAUAGGUGUCUUUGUGGUUUUAAAGACAACUGUGAAAUAAAAUUGUUUCACCGCCUGGUAUA